ACGAAGGUGGCUAACGUUGUUCGGAAUCAUUGGGCUUAAAGCGGGCGCAGGCGGAACAAUAAGUGUCUUGUGAAAUCCCCCGGCUUAACCGGGGAAUUGCUGGGCAAACUGUUGUUCUUGAGGCAAGCAGGGGUACAUGGAACUCUUGGUGGAGCGGUAGAAUGCGUAGAUAUCAAGAAGAACGCCAGUGGAGAAGUCGGUGUACUGGGCUUGUUCUGACGCUGAGGCCCGAAAGCGUGGGUAGCAAACAGGAUUAGAUACCCUGGUAGUCCACGCCGUAAACGAUGUCUACUAGGCUGUGGGGGUUCUGACACCUUCACGGCCGAAGCAAAAGUGUUAAGUAGACCGCCUGGGGAGUACGGCCGCAAGGCUA
rnacentral:rRNA from 1 species